GACGAACGCUGGCGGCGUGCUUAACACAUGCAAGUCGAACGGAAAGGCCCUGCUUUUGUUGGGUGCUCGAGUGGCGAACGGGUGAGUAACGCGUGAGUAACCUGCCCUUGACUUUGGGAUAACUUCAGGAAACUGGGGCUAAUACCGGAUAGGAGCUCCUGCUGCAUGGUGGGGGUGGGAAAGUUUCGGCGGUUGGGGAGGGACUCGCGGCGUGUCAGCGUGUUGGUGGGGUAGUGGCUUACCACGGCUUUGACGGGUAGCCGGCCUGAGAGGGUGACCGGCCCCAUUGGGACUGAGAUACGGCCCAGACUCCUACGGGAGUGAGCAGUGGGGAAUAGUGCACUAUGGGCGGAAGCCUGAUGCAGCAACGCCGCGUGCGGGAUGACGGCCUUCGGGUUGUAAACCGCUUUCGCCUGUGACGAAGCGUGAGUGACGGUAAUGGGUAAAGAAGCACCGGCUAACUACGUG
rnacentral:rRNA from 1 species